CGUAGCUCAGUUGGUUAGAGCACAUCACUCAUAAUGAUGUCGCAGGUUCAAAUCCUGUCUCACCGACCA
rnacentral:tRNA from 1 species